UUUAGCUCAGCGGCAUAAGCGCCUGCCUUGCAAGCAGGCAGUUGUGAGUUCGAUCCCUGGUACCGAUAAAAAGGAAAAAGACAAAAAAAAAAAAAAAAAAAAAGUUAAGGGCUUUUAGAUCAACAUAGCUUUCUGGAAAGGCAGUGCCUUCCUAGCCAGAGGGUGGGCUCUGGCCUCUUGUCGUCAGCAGAGCUCUCGGAGGAACUGGCUCAGAAUUCUAUUCUCCGGGGGUGUGAACAGAUGUGACCAGGUGCACGGGUGCAGAGGGCACUCCGCGGUUUAUAUCUGCAUGCAGAAGCAGCAGAGAGAGGUGGUCUUGGCAGGGAGGGGUGCUGGGAGAGAUGGCUGGUGGCAAGGCCCCACCGGGUCGAGGAUGGCAAUGGGAGGCGGGCUCAGGAAGGGAAAACUCUGCAGCACUCAGAGCAUCUGGCUGUCCUCGCACGCGUGGGAGGAAGCAGUGUGGAAGCCGCCGGCCCGCAGUCCCAGCCUGUAGGAAGAACCGGAGCCAGGAGGGUGGCCGGCCUGGGUGAGCGCUCCCCAGACCUAACCGGCCUGAGUCGCCGACAGAAGCGCUGCUGCCCGAGACCGCGACUGGCGCCUCCUGCUGCAGCGUCAGAAGCCGCGCGGAUUCGAGGCGCCCAGCCUGGAGAACCGCGGGCUCACAGCGCCCCCAGGGGCCUUCGGAGCCGCUGCACUCCAGCUUUUCGGUGAAGCCAGGACAGCUGGAGGAGCUGACAGUUCUGCUCGCUGCGGUGUGGGUGCUUACGCAUAAAUCCCCUGCCACGUCCUCCCCCCAGGGCAGCGCUGAUGAGCUAAAUCGGGCAGAAGUCCCUCCAGCUGCGCCGCUGCGGAGGGGGAAGGCUGAGGCCUGAGUGUGCCUCUACCUCCCCUGUGGCCAGAGCCGUCAGGCGGGGGCAAAGGACACCUUUCCAAAGGACAGAUAUCCAUAAUGACUGUACAGAGAGUUUGGAUCCCUGGUGAAAAACUAAGUACAUCCCCACCCCAGUUCUGGAAUUGACUCAAAUUCGAAUCGCUGUCUCCUAAUCCAGCCUAAGGGGAAUUAAUCACCGGACCCUCUCCCCCAGGCCUUGUACAAGCCAAGCCUUGGAAGAAGACCUUCUGAAUUAGUGUCUGGCCUUGGCUUUCUCACGGGGAAGACAGAAACAGCCGCAGAGGAUCCAUGAAUUAACACCUGCAAGGAGGCAGGACAGUGCCAGGGCAAUCGAUGAACACUGCUGUGAAUUGUCUACUCUGCUUUCUCUCGAGACACCCACUGUCCUGCUUUCAUUGUCCAUCCAACUCCACACCACUCUUAAGGCCCAGGAAACUUCUGGAAGUAACCCAUCUGUCAACUUCUUAGGCCACAGAGUACCAGGCACUGUGCACACUGUGAGAAGCCCUAGCAAGGCGAGGGACUUUGGAAGUAGAUUUAAAAGCUUCAAGAGAGGUCACUGCUCUUCUAUCCUGGCUUCUGUCCAGUUUGUCCAUCUGGGAAGGCUAUGGACAACCAGGUCAGAAGGCCCUUCCCUGAGAACCCCAGGAAGGCUGCCAGAGCAAAUAGACUGGCAUUACAAUAAAUAACUUUAAAAUUAUAACUAUAUGUGCCCCAAAUAUUGUGUGGGACUUACAUAUACCCCCCAAAUGCUAUGUAUCUCAAAUUAAAGUUUAACUUCCA